GAGACCAACCACAGCCAAGGGGGAGGGGCCCUGGGUGGAGGCAUCUCUGCCUCGAGGCCCCAGGUCUCCAACUACUCAGGCUGCCUUGCUGAGGCCACCUACCACCCCCUUCUGCCAUUUGGGAGCUGCCCCAUCCCUUCCCGACAUGCUUUCUCUCUCUGGGCCAGAAAGGACAGGUUGUUGGCCUGCUCAUCUGCCUUCACCCCAGGCCUUGAAAAGAACACAGGAUGGUGUUGGAAGACCAGGGCUCAAGACCUGGCUCAGCCAACAUUUGGCUCUGUGACCUUAGUUUUUCUCCCUGCACCUCAGUGGACAUCAGCCCAGCCCAAAGCCAAGAGCACUGGAUAGAAAGCCAGGGACCCUGAGCAUCCGACUCACGCACAGGUGAGACCCAGUGAGCAAAAAAGACGACUGACAGUCAUUUCCUCACAAACCAGGUUUCCCUGGUUCCUCCGCCCACUCUCCUCCCUCCCCAGCCUCCAGACUCCCCAGAUCCUAACUCUAGUUCUGCCUUCUCUCCACUGUACUUGGCUGCCUCAAGCAAACCCCAACAGAACCCCCCAAAGGAGAAAGUACUCAGGUUCACGCUAGACACCAAGGAUGUGGCAGGAGCCACCUCUGCAUUCCAUGGCCAGGGGCUAGUGAGAGAAAUGAUGGCUUAUCCACUCUAAAGAGUUAAAGAAAAAAAACGUAAAAAAUCAUGGAAAAGAUUUGAGUAAAAAAGCAUGAUACACAAUAGUUUGUACAGAUUAUCUCUGUGUUAAUGAAUACACAUGCACAGAUACAGAAAAUUCAGCAAAGUAUUAACUAUAGUUAUUUCUGGGUGGCGGGAAGACAGAUUAUUAUUUUUUCUUCUGUUUAACUGUAGUUCUUGGUUUUGCUACUAUACUUGGAGAUUCCUUGAAUGAGUUUAAG